UUGUUGUGGAGCAUCAGCCGUUAAGGACGGCCAGCUGCUGUGGGAGCAAUUUCCUGCUGCAGAGAGCAUUUUAAGAAAGGACAGUGUUCCUGUGACCUCUGCCUACCAUCCAUAAAAUACUCAUUCCCCUCUCAGAUAUAAGAAGCUCUGAUACGAAAGCCGGGGGCUCCUGUUGGCUGGAAGGAAGUUUGCAUCUGCCGUCGCCAGCACUUGUCUCUGCCUACAGUUGAACACAAAGACCUGGAGGAGACUCCCACCUCCUUCAGGGAGAAGAAAGGAGGCAGCGAAGCAGAUUAAAGGAACUUGUGGCUUGUGGCCUUUUUGUGCAAGGGCUGCCUGGAAGGG
rnacentral:sRNA from 1 species